UUGAGGUUUGAUUCCCUUGCUCAGGACGAACGCUGGCGGCGUGCUUAACACAUGCAAGUCGAACGAUGAAGCCCUUCGGGGGUGGAUUAGUGGCGAACGGGUGAGUAACACGUGGGCAAUCUGCCCUGCACUCUGGGACAAGCCCUGGAAACGGGGUCUAAUACCGGAUAUGACCGUCUUGGGCAUCCUUGACGGUGUAAAGCUCCGGCGGUGCAGGAUGAGCCCGCGGCCUAUCAGCUUGUUGGUGAGGUAAUGGCUCACCAAGGCGACGACGGGUAGCCGGCCUGAGAGGGCGACCGGCCACACUGGGACUGAGACACGGCCCAGACUCCUACGGGAGGCAGCAGUGGGGAAUAUUGCACAAUGGGCGAAAGCCUGAUGCAGCGACGCCGCGUGAGGGAUGACGGCCUUCGGGUUGUAAACCUCUUUCAGCAGGGAAGAAGCGAAAGUGACGGUACCUGCAGAAGAAGCGCCGGCUAACUACGUGCCAGCAGCCGCGGUAAUACGUAGGGCGCAAGCGUUGUCCGGAAUUAUUGGGCGUAAAGAGCUCGUAGGCGGCUUGUCACGUCGGUUGUGAAAGCCCGGGGCUUAACCCCGGGUCUGCAGUCGAUACGGGCAGGCUAGAGUUCGGUAGGGGAGAUCGGAAUUCCUGGUGUAGCGGUGAAAUGCGCAGAUAUCAGGAGGAACACCGGUGGCGAAGGCGGAUCUCUGGGCCGAUACUGACGCUGAGGAGCGAAAGCGUGGGGAGCGAACAGGAUUAGAUACCCUGGUAGUCCACGCCGUAAACGGUGGGCACUAGGUGUGGGCAACAUUCCACGUUGUCCGUGCCGCAGCUAACGCAUUAAGGCCCCGCAUGGAGAUCGCCACG
rnacentral:rRNA from 1 species